rnacentral:ribozyme from 1 species
CCUCUCUCUCUCCUGCUAUUACUCGGAACUCAAAACUUACUUCACAAAAUAAUAAUAAUAAUCAAGAUAAUAAUAAGAAUAAUAUUAAUACUACUAC